CAUGGCCACCUGCAAGCUGGUGCUGAUCCAGCAUUGCCAGAGCACCAGGAGCCUGGAGAACCACUUCAGCAGUUAUAGGACAAUAACCUGAGCCCAGUGGGGCAUGAAGCAAAGGGCAUCAUGCAGGCUCUGUGAGAUUCUGCCUAUAAGGUUGAUAUGUGCUUCUCCUCAGUGCAGAAGAGAGAGCAAUCCUGACCCACUAGAUAGUGCUGGAUGCCAUUAACCAUAUGUAGCAUCCUGUAGUAAAGAUUUGAUGUCUCAGUGAAUGACGCUAUGGGGGUCUGACUGGCCUCAAUAAAGCAGAAACUACUGCCAAGCAUGGUGAGGCCCAGGUAAAAUCUGGAGGCCUCCUAUGCCAUCCCAACACCUCCAGUAAAGCCCAACUAUCCCUUCUACAGCAACUUCAGUAAGGAUCACAAGGAUGGAGACCUCACUGAUGAUCAACUACUCUCCUGAGAGGGUUUGAAAGGCAAUAGUGUCUUUCAGACAGUGCCCUUUUGAAAUUAAUAGCUCCCCAGAUGAAGGAGGAAAAAUAGGUAUGGAUUGCAGCCCAUGGCAUCAGCCUUCUGGACAUUAAGUAUCUGGAAGGUCCCUCUGAAGAAGCUGUUGUGGAGCACAGCCUGUCAACUGGUAUUCCUAUUGUCUAUGAGUUAGACAAGAACUUGAAAUCCAUCAAGCCUAUGCAGUUCCUAGGGAACGAAGAGACCAUGAAUAAAGCUGUGGACUCUGUGACUACCCAAGACAAGGCCAAGAA
rnacentral:lncRNA from 1 species